GAUGAACGCUGGCGGCGUGCCUAAUACAUGCAAGUCGAGCGAACAGACGAGGAGCUUGCUCCUCUGACGUUAGCGGCGGACGGGUGAGUAACACGUGGAUAACCUACCUAUAAGACUGGGAUAACUUCGGGAAACCGGAGCUAAUACCGGAUAAUAUAUUGAACCGCAUGGUUCAAUAGUGAAAGACGGUUUUGCUGUCACUUAUAGAUGUAUCCGCGCCGCUUUAGCUAGUUGUUAAGGUAACGGCUUACCAAGGCGACGAUGCAUACCCGCCCUGGGGGGGUGAUCGCCCACACUGGAACGGAGACAGGCCCCAGCCUCUUAGGGGGGGAACCAGAAGGGAACCUUCCGAAAGGGGCGAAGGCUUGACGGAGCACCGCCGCGUGAGUGAUGAAGGUCUUCGGAUCGUAAAACUCUGUUAUUAGGGAAGAACAAAUGUGUAAGUAACUAUGCACGUCUUGACGGUACCUAAUCAGAAAGCCACGGCUAACUACGUG
rnacentral:rRNA from 1 species